UGUCAGAAUCGGGACCGUCCCAUCCUAUUACCGCUCCUGCAUCACGUGAUUUGGAUCAAUUCCUCUACUGCAUGGUCACGUGGCGAAACCGGGGCGUAUAAAAGUAGUUGCGAAAUAAAGCAUUCCCUCCCAUAACCAAUUUCCACAGUAAACAGCAACAGUUAAUCUCAUCAAUAACAUGUCUCCAGUAGCAUUGAGAGUGGCUAUUUUGUCGAUGGCCCUUUUUUGCGUCGUCUAUGCUAAAAGCAUCGGACAAGAAAAGGCCAUACCAUAUGAACUCGACUUUACGCCAGACGACGGAUCUCCAGAAACAGCAAUUAUGAAUUAUCUUUUCGCUCGUCAGAUGGUUAAUAGACUUCGUAAUAACUUGGAUAUAAGCGAUCUUCAACGCAAGAGGUCCUACUGGAAGCAAUGCGCUUUCAACGCAGUUUCGUGUUUUGGUAGGAAGUAAUUAAAUAACAGAAAAAAAUCCUAAUUACAAUUAUAUUUAUGUAUUUAAAAGAUUAUAUAUUAUUCUUCUAAAAUUGCGUUGAGUUUUGUUUGUAUAUGAUGUCAAUUUUCAUUACAAUUAAUGUUUUUUCUUGUAAGUAGUCAUUAUAGACUAUAGUUCUUUAUGUAAAUAACUUGAUUAUGCUCUAAAUAAAUUAUUGUAG